rnacentral:rRNA from 1 species
ACGGGGUGCAGCAGGCGCGAACACUUUACAAUGCGGGAAACCGCGAUAAGGGAACCCCGAGUGCCAGCAUCAAAUGUUGGCUGUCCNGAUGAUUAAAAAUCAUUUGUUAGCAAGGGCCGGGCAAGACCGGUGCCAGCCGCCGCGGUAACACCGGCGGCCCGAGUGGUAGCCGUUUUUAUUGGGUCUAAAGGGUCCGUAGCCGGCCUGAUAAGUCCUUUGGGAAAUCUGGCAGCUUAACUGUCAGGCUUCUAAGGGAUACUGUCAGGCUUGGGACCGGAAGAGGUAAGGGGUACUCCAGGGGUAGGAGUGAAAUCUUGUAAUCCCUGGGGGACCAUCUGUGGCGAAGGCGCCUUACCAGAACGGGUCCGACGGUGAGGGACGAAAGCUAGGGGAGCAAACCGGAUUAGAUACCCGGGUAGUCCUAGCUGUAAACGAUGCCCGCUAGGUGUCAGACACGGUGCGACCGUGUUUGGUGCCGCAGGGAAGCCGUUAAGCGAGCCACCUGGAAGUACGUCGCAAGGC